rnacentral:rRNA from 1 species
GGUACGCCUGCCAGUGAAUAUUUCAACGGCCGCGGUAUCCUAACCGUGCAAAGGUAGCGUAAUCACUUGUCCCCUAAAUAGGGACCAGUAUGAACGGCUAAAUGAGGACUAAUCUGUCUCCUUUGACUAACCAGUGAAACUGAUCUUUCGGUUAAAAAGCCGAAAUAAACACAUAAGACGAGAAGACCCUGUGGAGCUUUAAAUUAUAACCAAAAUGCCAACACAACACGCCACAUAAUGGCCAAAAAUUUUAAGUUGGGGCGACUUCGGAAAAAAACAAAACUUCCGAGCAUAGAGAGCACCUCUCUAAUCGAGACUGACAAGUCAAAACAACCAUUGACCCAGUACUACUGAUUAACGAACCAAGUUACCCCAGGGAUAACAGCGCUAUCUUCUUCAAGAGUCCAUAUCGACAAGAAGGUUUACGACCUCGAUGUUGGAUCAGGACACCCAAAUGGUGCAGCAGCUAUUAAAGGUUCGUUUGUUCAACGAUUAAUAGUCCU